AGUCUAGAUCAAAAUCCAAUUUCUGUUAGGACUCAGACAUCUUUCUGACUAUUCGAUCUCUUUCACAUGCAUCCAUGGCUAUCCGAUCAUGCAAAAUGCACCUGUAAAUCAUACGUAAACCACUCCCACAUGAAUCAAGGCUUUUUCAUGUGUGCCGCAUGUCACACGCUCGUCUGCGCAAGCGUGAGCCACGAGAAAACCUCCUUGGGCCGCGACGGUCCAUGCCUUGUGCAUGGAUCAUGAACUUUCCCACAGACCGCAUGUGCACCACGCGGGCAUGCACUUGGACUAUGCACCCGCAUGCAUCCUGGGCAACAUGCCUGACUGGGCUACAUGCACUAUGCGCAAUGGGCAAGCUUGCAUGCUGCAGACCUGCGUGCUCUAGGACAUGUGCACUGUAGGCAUGUGGGCCGCAGGUGCAAGCGGGCCUGGGCACUUGCAGGUUGGGCUUGAGGGCUGUGCCUCCAGUCCAAGCAUAUUAUUUUCUGUUGUGGGCUUCUCCUUCUUAGGUUGCUAUGCACUAU
rnacentral:lncRNA from 1 species